UGGAAAUGGGGGCGGCCUACCAUGCAGUCGACGGUAGCACAGAGGAGCUUGCUCCUUGGGUGACGAGUGGCGGACGGGUGAGUAAUGUCUGGGAAACUGCCCGAUGGAGGGGGAUAACUACUGGAAACGGUAGCUAAUACCGCAUAACGUCGCAAGACCAAAGAGGGGGACCUUCGGGCCUCUUGCCAUCGGAUGUGCCCAGAUGGGAUUAGCUAGUAGGUGGGGUAACGGCUCACCUAGGCGACGAUCCCUAGCUGGUCUGAGAGGAUGACCAGCCACACUGGAACUGAGACACGGUCCAGACUCCUACGGGAGGCAGCAGUGGGGAAUAUUGCACAAUGGGCGCAAGCCUGAUGCAGCCAUGCCGCGUGUAUGAAGAAGGCCUUCGGGUUGUAAAGUACUUUCAGCGAGGAGGAAGGUGUUGUGGUUAAUAACCGCAGCAAUUGACGUUACUCGCAGAAGAAGCACCGGCUAACUCCGUGCCAGCAGCCGCGGUAAUACGGAGGGUGCAAGCGUUAAUCGGAAUUACUGGGCGUAAAGCGCACGCAGGCGGUCUGUCAAGUCGGAUGUGAAAUCCCCGGGCUCAACCUGGGAACUGCAUCCGAAAC
rnacentral:rRNA from 1 species